GACGAACGCUGGCGGCGUGCUUAACACAUGCAAGUCGAACGCGCCUGUCCUCUGGGUUUCUGGGGGGUGGGUGAGUGGCGAACGGGUGAGUAACACGUGAGUAACCUGCCCCCUUCUUCGGGAUAACGGUCUGAAAGGGCUGCUAAUACCGGGUAUUCACUGGUCUCCGCAUGGGGUCUGGUGGAAAGGUUUUUUUCUGGUGGGGGAUGGGCUCGCGGCCUAUCAGCUUGUUGGUGGGGUGAUGGCCCACCAAGGCUUUGACGGGUAGCCGGCCUGAGAGGGUGACCGGUCACAUUGGGACUGAGAUACGGCCCAGACUCCUACGGGAGGCAGCAGUGGGGAAUAUUGCACAAUGGGCGCAAGCCUGAUGCAGCGACGCCGCGUGAGGGAUGGAGGCCUUCGGGUUGUGAACCUCUUUCGCCCGUGGUCAAGCCGCGACGUGGGUCGAGGUGAGGGUAGUGGGUAAAGAAGCGCCGGCUAACUACGUG
rnacentral:rRNA from 1 species